rnacentral:rRNA from 1 species
UACGUAGGGUGCAAGCGUUGUCCGGAUUUAUUGGGCGUAAAGAGCUCGUAGGCGGCUUAGAAAGUCAGGUGUGAAACCUCCAGGCUCAACCUGGAGACGCCACUUGAUACUUCUAUAGCUAGAGUUCGGUAGGGGUAAGCGGAAUUCCUGGUGUAGCGGUGAAAUGCGCAGAUAUCAGGAGGAACACCGAUGGCGAAGGCAGCUUACUGGGCCGAUACUGACGCUGAGGAGCGAAAGCGUGGGGAGCGAACAGG